rnacentral:lncRNA from 1 species
GUUUGAGUUGUCACCUUGUUUGACUUACGAUUUAUAUGGUUAUGAAGAAUUAUUGAUAUUAAAACUGCUAAGGUGAUAAAAUGACAUCAUUCACAGAGUUACUUAUUUCUUGCAUUCUAGAGUAGCUAACUAGGAUCAUGAUUUAUGAGUUGACAACUACGAGAGUAGGCUCAUACUUGAUAGCAAUUCUGUUGAGCUAAAUUGUUAGACACGAGCUGUAGCUAGAUGGCCUAACCAUUUUAGCGAACUUAUCAAUCAAAGCUUAAAACUUGUUUUGAAGAGUAUCGAUCGACACCUUAUAGGUGCAUCGAUUGAUACGGUUCCGUGUGACACGCAAGAGUGUGGACAUAGAAGUCCAAUACGUAGACUCGCAGCGAGGGCUGGAUAUCUUACAUUAGAAUUCAAGUUCUAAGAUUGAUUAUCACAUGCAUUUAGCAAUUAUAUCAUAAUUUAUAGGGUAAUUUAUAUUACCUAACCUGAAAGUCUAGAUUAUGUCUUAUCUGUGACCACACUUCUCAUCCAUCUUAUUUAGUGUCUUAACAUUUAUUCGCCUAGCUUGAUCCUACUAUUCAUAUGAUCUAUUGUGUGCCCCGGCUCCU